rnacentral:rRNA from 1 species
GAUGAACGCUAGCUACAGGCUUAACACAUGCAAGUCGCGGGGCAGCAUGGGGGUUGCUUGCAAUCCCCGAUGGCGACCGGCGCACGGGUGAGUAACGCGUAUCCAACCUGCCCUUCACCACGGGAUAACCCGGCGAAAGUCGGACUAAUACCGUAUGUUGUCCAUUGACGGCAUCCGAUUUGGACGAAAGGUUUGGCGGUGAAGGAUGGGGAUGCGUCCGAUUAGCUGGACGGCGGGGUGACGGCCCACCGUGGCGACGAUCGGUAGGGGUUCUGAGAGGAAGGUCCCCCACACUGGAACUGAGACACGGUCCAGACGCCUACGGGAGGCAGCAGUGAGGAAGAUUGGUCAAUGGGCGUAAGCCUGAACCAGCCAAGUAGCGUGCAGGAUGACGGCCCUAUGGGUUGUAAACUGCUUUUAUGCGGGGAUAAAGUGGCCCACGUGUGGGUUUUUGCAGGUACCGCAUGAAUAAGGACCGGCUAAUUCCGUG